CAGGUGCAUGCCUCUAGCAUGAAGUCAGACAA
rnacentral:rRNA from 2 species